GAAUCUACCAGGAUCCCUGCUUGCUACAUCUUCAAAAUUUAUAUCUCCUACUCUUCACACUACACAACCAUAAGCAAAGACCAAAGCACAUUCCAGAUUUCAGACCCCAGGACAACUGUGACCUACGUAUAGCCUUCAGAUACGCCAUUCAUAACAUUCUGCUUCCAAUUGUUGAUUAAAAUAUAACAAAAGGAGGUAUUUUAAAUCCAAUUAAGUGUUUAAAUUUUACACAUCAGUAUUUAAGUAAAAUAGUAAACUGCACGAAAAUGAAACACUGUAAGUAACUCUGGAAAAACAAGACUAUGAAUAUCUCUUAGAUGUGACAUCCUCCUAACAGAGGUGUGUCCCACAUCAUCUAUAGCCUGAAUGGCUUCUUUGGAGCCAGUGUGAAAUGUGCUGGUGAACAGGUGGCUCACAUGUACAAGGCUGUCAGAUACUGUACAUCAGCACUCCUUUGGCCGUUUGAUUAGGAUUUCCUAACAGGCCAGUACUGCAGUCCUUCUGCAUCCAGCAUCUGCUACUGCAUCACAACGGCAGAACAAAGAAGGUGCAGGCUCAGAGGCUCAGCCUGCCUGUGACCAGCACUUACACACCCACCUUCCCAGGACCACCUGGUCUACAAGAUUGGAUGGUUUGUGCAAAUCUGCCACCCACUGACAAUGACUGCAAACAGGGGACAGAAAGGGAAGCAAAUUUGAAAGCCCUUUGAGAACAUUUGUGACAACACUGACAAGAAAUCCCAGUGAUUUAAGCAACACUAAUAACCAUAUGUCUGGACCUAUGUUCAGCUGUAAUUUACACAUUAAGUAUAAGCUCUUAUUUUCAUACUUGAGAAAACAUGCCAACUAUUCAGUAUUUAUUAACAUUGUUAACUUGCAGAAUGAGAAAACUAAUUACAAUAGAAGGAAGGAAAUAUUGGUCUUGGGAAAAAAUGACUUUGGUUUUCAUACAGGUAGGUGGUAAAGGAGUCAUUACUACUUCCCAAAACCAAUCCAGCACAUCUGUAUCUUAACCUACAAUAUUACAGCAGAUAUGAUCACUAUAUGGGCAAAUAUAAAAAUAUGCUCAUAAAAAUCUGCUCCAACACACUAAGUCAUUCCAGCACACCACAAUAUAAUUUUUGUAGGUAUACACGGCAAUCAACUGUGUGACACAAUUAAAGGCCUUGUGUAUCACAAGUUUUCCUCAAAGUACUGUGAGCAGAGCUGUUGAACUAGGACAUGAGAGCUGUGGGAGGGGAAACAGGCCAGAAUGAAAUAAAAGUCUUUGCAACAGAAAGCUUAUGCUCAGCACCAUAAGCUGAGCAAAUGGCAGAGGGAGAUUAGGUAGGGAGUAUCUGCCUGCUUAAAAAAACUAAGUAAGGGCAUGUGGGUGGCACAGUUGGUUGAGCGUCCAACUCUUGGUUUUGCCUCAGGUCAUGAUCUCAGGGUCCUGGGAUUGAGCCCUGCAUUAGGCUCCACACUCAACA